CAGCCGCCACGGUAAUACAGAGGGUGCGAGCGUUAAUCGGAUUUACUGGGCGUAAAGCGUGCGUAGGCGGCUAAUUGAGUCGGAUGUGAAAUCCCCGAGCUUAACUUGGGAAUUGCAUUCGAUACUGGUUAGCUAGAGUGUGGGAGAGGAUGGUAGAAUUCCAGGUGUAGCGGUGAAAUGCGUAGAGAUCUGGAGGAAUACCGAUGGCGAAGGCAGCCAUCUGGCCUAACACUGACGCUGAGGUACGAAAGCAUGGGGAGCAAACAGGAUUAGAUACCCCGGUAGUCCCUGUCUCUUAUAC
rnacentral:rRNA from 1 species